AUGCAGUCGAGCGGAACGAGUUAACUGAACCUUCGGGGAACGUUAACGGCGUCGAGCGGCGGACGGGUGAGUAAUGCCUGGGAAAUUGCCCUGAUGUGGGGGAUAACCAUUGGAAACGAUGGCUAAUACCGCAUAAUAGCUUCGGCUCAAAGAGGGGGACCUUCGGGCCUCUCGCGUCAGGAUAUGCCCAGGUGGGAUUAGCUAGUUGGUGAGGUAAGGGCUCACCAAGGCGACGAUCCCUAGCUGGUCUGAGAGGAUGAUCAGCCACACUGGAACUGAGACACGGUCCAGACUCCUACGGGAGGCAGCAGUGGGGAAUAUUGCACAAUGGGCGCAAGCCUGAUGCAGCCAUGCCGCGUGUAUGAAGAAGGCCUUCGGGUUGUAAAGUACUUUCAGCAGUGAGGAAGGUGUUGUAGUUAAUAACUGCAUCAUUUGACGUUAGCUGCAGAAGAAGCACCGGCUAACUCCGUGCCAGCAGCCGCGGUAAUACGGAGGGUGCGAGCGUUAAUCGGAAUUACUGGGCGUAAAGCGCAUGCAGGUGGAUGAUUAAGUCAGAUGUGAAAGCCCGGGGCUCAACCUCGGAAUUGCAUUUGAAACUGGUUAUCUAGAGUACUGUA
rnacentral:rRNA from 1 species